UGCAAACGUUGCUCGGAAUUAUUGGGCGUAAAGCGCGUGUAGGCGGCAGCGCAAGUCGGAUGUGAAAUCCCAUGGCUCAACCAUGGAAGUGCACCCGAAACUGCGUCGCUAGAGUCCUGGAGAGGAAGGUGGAAUGCUUGGUGUAGAGGUGAAAUUCGUAGAUAUCAAGCGGAACACCGGUGGCGAAGGCGGCCUUCUGGACAGUGACUGACGCUGAGACGCGAAAGCGUGGGGAGCAAACAGG
rnacentral:rRNA from 1 species